CAGGAGGCGUUGGCAAUGAAGUUGAAGCUGAGGUCACCGCAAGUUGAGGUGUGGUUUCAAAACCUUAGGGCCAGGUCCUCCUGGAGCUCAUAGGUUCACAGUCAAAUCAAGUUCAGAUAACCAUUAUUAAAUAUAUGAGUGGCAUUGUUAAGCCUGGAAGGUAAUAUGAAAGAUUUAAUGAUGAUUCAUCUGCUUGGCCCCCAAGUUGCAGGAAGACCACACUUUUAAAGGCUCUCAGUUAGGAACCUGAUUAUUUUCCGAUGAUUCCAACACGGCUACCUCCCAAUCUGCAAGUCCAGUGAUGUUCCAACCUCCCUCUCAACUCUGCUUCUCACAAACACCAGGUUCUUCCCUCUCCACAAAGCAAGAAGAGAAUGAGUGUUUUGUUUUCUCUUUACCCAGACUCAAAUUGACAAAUCACAAAGGGUUCAAACAAUCCAACAAUGGAACUGUAAACAAAGAAAAAAUAACAGAGGGAAAAGUUUCUUACAAUGGUUACUGGCUGGAUGAGUUUGUUCCCCAAAAAACACCAGCUUAUAUAAGCUAAGAGGAUCUGCAUUUGCUGAAAUGACCGAGGGAAACCCUUGAAUUUGCUGCCCAUUUGGUUUUGGAAACUAAGGAAAUAUGAUGAUGGAAGUCAGUAAAAGAGAGGAGUCAGGAAUUGUUCCGGAUGUAGAUGUAGAUACUUUCAUGCGGCCAAUUUCUGGCAAAGGACCAAAAACUACCCUUCAAACAGAUCAUGUUUUAACUGUCUCGGGACAUCCCAGGUCCUUGAACUUGAUAUUUUUGGUGACACAAUGGUGGGAGAUAAGGUGAGAAGAGGCAUCUCUGGGGGUCAAAAGAGGAGACUGAGUACUGCAGCUGAUGCAUAUCUGUUAGGUGUCUCCUUCCUUGGUGGCUAUAGGCAAUAUGACUCCAGUGAAGUCUGCUCUAGUAACCGGCUGCACGGCUUCAGUUGAUAAUCAAUUUGAAAUGAGCCAUAACAACCAUAUGCGCCCUCUUCUUUUUGUAACCCUUUCAAAAUUGUUGAGAUGAGAUUGGCAACAUGUUACUGAAUUUGUUACCAACAAUCAGAAAAAUUAGUGUUAAAUGAGUAGAUUACAAGUUGAAAAUUGACAUCAUUUUCGUUUGAACACUGGCAACAAGUGGACGCAAUGUGAUCUGAUGAAAUUUUUGCUGAGGAUGUACAUGAUGUUAUAGUUUUAAAUCGUGAUUUGCUUGAAAUGUUGUGUGAAAUUGUGAAUUUUGUGUUUCAUUUGCUUCAGUUUAAGCCAGAGGAUUAGAGGGCCAUCUUUCAUCUCCUGCUUCUGCUUUUAUACAUCAUUCAUAUUAUUCAUUUAUUUGUAUUCACUGAAUGUUGAUUCGAAUUUCAGUGCAAGUGUUAGUUUUCUGGUGGUUGC